rnacentral:rRNA from 1 species
AUUGAACGCUGGCGGCAUGCUUUACACAUGCAAGUCGAACGGUAACAGGCCGCAAGGUGCUGACGAGUGGCGAACGGGUGAGUAAUGCAUCGGAACGUGCCCAGUCGUGGGGGAUAACGCAGCGAAAGCUGCGCUAAUACCGCAUACGAUCUAUGGAUGAAAGCGGGGGACCGUAAGGCCUCGCGAUUGGAGCGGCCGAUGUCAGAUUAGGUAGUUGGUGGGGUAAAGGCUCACCAAGCCAACGAUCUGUAGCUGGUCUGAGAGGACGACCAGCAACACGGGAACUGAGACACGGGCCAGACUCCUACGGGAGGCAGCAGUGGGGAAUUUUGGACAAUGGGCGCAAGCCUGAUCCAGCAAUGCCGCGUGCAGGAAGAAGGCCUUCGGGUUGUAAACUGCUUUUGUACGGAACGAAACGGUCCUGGCUAAUACCCGGGGCUAAUGACGGUACCGUAAGAAUAAGCACCGGCUAACUACGUGCCAGCCGCCGCAGUAAAAC